rnacentral:sRNA from 1 species
AUAAGCUAGAGAGAUUGGGAUUUUCUAUGUUUUUCAAACCUCUUUCACAGAUUCAACCUUUUGUUUUGCUUGAGGGCAAGCAAAAGCUAAGUCUGGGGGAGUUGAUAUGUCCUGGUUUUUACUGAUUUCUAACAUAGUUUUUGAAUGGUUUUUAGAGUCUUUCUAGUCUUUUUCGUAUGUUUUGAGUCAUUUACACAUCUGGGAGCUAUGGAGCACAAUAAGGAAUUUUUGAAGCUUUUCAGCAAUCAAGAUUGUGAAGGACGUUUUUUCAGAAAAGAAAAAAACUUAAAAGAUUCAUGAAUGCAAAGGGUAGAAUAAAUUCUUAUAUUGGGAUUGGAGAUGGGAUUACCAUUAGAGCUUCAUUUGAUAUACUCUGGGUAGAUGGGAUCUUAUCUCUGUAUGCAUAGCUUGGGACUUACCUUUAACAUUCUACUAAAGCUUAAUCAUUUUUUGAGAGAUCCCCUGUUACUGAAGCCUAUUCUGUAAGGGACCAUCUUUGUCUCUUGACCUUUUACCUUAGCCAAAUGAGUUCAUUGAUGAUGCAUUGCUUGAUUCACGUUCCAGAACUAAUGAAUGUUAAAGGGAUUGGUAGAUUUGAAAACUUGUGUAGGUCGAGCAUAUGAGUCGGAUUGAUUGAUGAUGAGGCAUGGCUAACGUUUUUAAGUAGAAUUCGAUCUUGCAGCUUAGAACUUUCAACUUGGACAUUGAUUUCAUCUGGUUUAUCUGGUGCUUUGGCUCUGAGUCCCCGCUUUCAAACCUCACCUCCAGCUUGUUCUUGAUUGUUUGCUUGAGGGCAAGCAAAGACUAAGUUUGGAGGAGUGGAUAAGUGUGUAUUUUGCAUGUUUUGAGCAUCCAUUUGUCAUCACUAUUUUAUACCAUUUCUCAUCAUUUGUCAUCACUUUACAUGUUUAGGAUAGAUUUGCAUGCAUGUUGCAUAUUUGCGUUGAUUUCAGGUGAUUUGGAGCUGUUGACGAGCUACCUCGAAGAAGCAGACCUGAUCAUGUCAAACCACUCGACCCCGAGGUCGAGUAGGAGCUUCAAGAUCUCAACAGAUCACUCGACCCCCUGGUCGAGUAGAGGACAUCACUACUUGACCACAUCACUUGACCUCGAGCUCAUGUGUCUUCAUCCCAUCACCUAACCAUCACUCGAUCACAUCACUCGACCCCGAGGCCGAGUGUCUUCACCUUCAUUGCCAGACCACUACUCGACCUCAUCACUCCACCUGGAAGUCGAGUAUCACCAUCACCACCACUCGAUUGCAUACUCGAUGACAAGCUUCAGAGCCUUCUUCAUUCCGCACUCACCCAGACACUCGAGCACAAGGAAGAAAAGAAGACUCCAGCUAUUCACUCGACCUCCCACUCGACCACAUGGGUCGAGUACAGUUCUUACUCCGUCCUAGUACUUCGUCGUUUUAAGUAUUAGGGUUUCGGAAUAUUUGGCUAUAAGUAGCAUGUACUUCACAUUUUCGCAGACAAGUUUUUAUCUAGUUUUAUUCAGCAGACCUUGUGUUCUAGACUUUUUGUAAUCCGGAUUUCUCUUUAUCUAUUCAGUAUUCAGUAUUCAGCUUUUGUUCUUGAUUUCGUUUAUUGUUGUUCAUUCUGUUAUCAUCCUGCUGUUACACUGUUGUUAUCAUGUUUUCAACUUGUUCAACGUUUAUGCUUUCUGUUAUGAUGUCUGAGUAGUGAAUAGGUUUCUGAGGAUGGGUUAGAGUAGUGUAGAAUUCUCAGUAUGCUAGGUGAUUGAGUAUUGAUUGAUAGAGCCCUUCUCGAUUAGUUGUUCUUAAUGCCUAUUGCUUUCUGAUCAACUGGAAUUUGAGCCCAGACAUUUCCGCGCCCAAAAGGUGUUCGAUGAAAUGUCUGAACCACUAAUUCCAGAGAUUCGUGACCCUGUACCAAGGUAUUGGUUGCAGGGAGCGUUUUGGCUUUAACUUGUUGAUUCGUAAUGCCUGUUAGGUUAGCUCUCGUCAAUGGUGAUUGAGUCUGGGACUAGGUUAACUUGAGAGUCUCUGUUGCGGUGGCACUUAGAUUUGGUUAAUGAACUUGUUGUCUAGGGUUAAUUUAUUGAGCACGUCAAUCACCAGUAAACUGAGGAAACGAAACUACUCAAUUACCCCAUCCUCGGGAAUUCUUUAUCUGAUUGAAUUCUUUGUUUACUCUACUGUUGUUUACUACAUCUUGUUAUCUGUCGCUUAAUUUCUGCAGUUCUUUCUUGUUACUCGACCUCAUACUCGACCACCCAGUUGUCUGGCAACAGACUGUGCAGUCGUGUAUCUGAGUUUUAUUUUCUGUCUGUUACUCGACCUGUCACUCGACCUCACCCAGUGCUCUGCAAAGAGCUGUGUUGGUCGAGUGUUUUGCUGUUUUUGCUUGAAUUUCUGUUUUAUGCAUGUUCACUUAGAACUGCUAGAACACACCACAACCUGUUAUAGCUUGGCUUGACUUAGUGACUUAUAAUCACAUCUUGAUUGUUAGCAUCACACCCAUUUGGAUUGACAACCUUCAGUAUUACAACGACAUGAUAGUGCUUUAGGUUUAAUUAACU